AGAGGUGUUUGGAGCAGUGUUUGGAGCAGUGUUUGGAGCAGCAUGCCGUGACUUUUCAAGACCCAGCAACAAGGCAUUGCUUCUCACAACACAUCUGUUCAUUACUGCUUCACCUCACUGUAAACUGAACUCCUGGACAUGGACUACAUACACGCCUAUGGAACUCGUACUAGAGUGACUCAAGUCAUUCGAGGCUCUUUACACGGAUUCGCUCACUGACUCGCUCAGUCGCAUGGUUUGCAAAAAUGUGUAGCUAACAGCGAGUGUGUGUGUGUACGCUCUUAAGCCGGAGCAGUGUCUGAUGUCGCACAUGGACGGUUCUCUCUGAUUAUGUUUACAGCCGGGACCAUUAGGGGACUUGAUUAUGCAUAAUGGAACAGGUAGUGCACUUGCAUUUCAUGCUUUAUUUAUUGCUCAUCCAAGGUCAAGUGGUGCUACACGCUUUGUUUUACACGCUGCAGAGUGUAAAGUUUCUCAUGACGGAAGAAAACAUUUGCGGUUCGAUUGGGAAGUUACCGUGUUUCAUGCCGAGUCAGUCGUUAUUGUUGUGACUCGAGAAGGAGGCGACAGAAACCAGCGUGACCUUUGCAGGUUCCUGACAAAAUCUGUUCCUAUGUAGUGAUAUGCACUUUUUAUCUAAUUUUGCAUAACCCCAAAUUAUUAUUAUUAUUUUGUAAAACAUGUUUUAUAGCAAGUUUUUCAGCAAUAAAAUAUUGUCAUGAAUCAUUUAGGAGAUCCCAAAACAAAAGAUUUUUAAAAAUGAAAAAUAAAUGUUUACUAAAUAAACCUUACAGCUAAAUGUAACAAGGAACUAUUUACACUAUUUACGCAUUUUUAAUAUGUUUUAAAUUGAAUUUGUUAUGGAAUCAACACUGUGUGUUGCUGUUAAAGUAAAAUCCUCAACAACGGGGUGAAGUGAUGAAGUGGAGCGAGUGUUUUCACCCUAAAGUUGAUUAUUUUCCUAUAAUAGCAUGUUAUAGCAUCCUAUAAUAGCAUGUAAAAGUGUUUUAUUCCUCUUAUAUUACAGCAAUUUGCAAAGGAUUUCAUUUUUUUUAUUAAUUAAAGAAUGACAUACACUUUGUCCGUUUGUAGUUACAUUUAAUAUUGUGUAACAUUGUGCAAAGCGUACACUCUGUUCUGAAGAUGUCAGAAAACUUAGUUACAGCUUUACCUCUGAGUGUUACAAAGCGCUGACACUGGAGACUCCUUCCAUAAACGUUAAAUAAACAUUAAACAAGCAUUUUUUUUUGUGGUUUCAGAAGCCAUGAGAGUGAAAGAAACUAUGCGCUGAUAAAAUACAGUGUGAAAUCAGUAAAUACCUGCUAGAACGCAGAAGGGAAAUGAAUCAUUUAAGUGAAUCUAAAUGAAUUAAAAUGAAUCUCUGUGAAUUCAGCUCUCGCUGUAGUCUCUUAGUGUUGUAUCUGAUGUUCGGAUUUGAAUUAAAGAUUAAAAAUCAGCCAGCAUGACAUGUGAAGAGGACAAACUGUCAU